UACAGAGGGUGCGAGCGUUGUCCGGAAUCACUGGGCGUAAAGGGCGCGUAGGUGGCGGCCCAAGUCCAUGGUGAAAGCUCGAUGCUCAACAUCGAGUCGGCCACGGAUACUGGGUUGCUCGAGCACUGUAGGGGCAGAUGGAAUUCCUGGUGUAGCGGUGAAAUGCGCAGAUAUCAGGAGGAACACCGGUGGCGAAGGCGGGUCUCUGGGCAACAACUGACGCUGAGGAGCGAAAGCGUGGGGAGCGAACAGG
rnacentral:rRNA from 1 species